UACGGGGGGGGCAAGCGUUGUUCGGAAUUACUGGGCGUAAAGGGCUCGUAGGCGGCCAACUAAGUCCGACGUGAAAUCCCCAGGCUUAACCUGGGAACUGCGUCGGAUACUGGAUGGCUUGAAUUCGGGAGAGGGAUGCAGAAUUCCAGGUGUAGCGGUGAAAUGCGUAGAUAUCUGGAAGAACACCUGAGGCGAAGGCGGCUAUCUGGCGGUGCACUGACGCUGAGGCGCGAAAGCGUGGGGAGCAAACAGG
rnacentral:rRNA from 1 species